AGAAUCAACGCUGGCGGCGUGCCUAACACAUGCAAGUCGAACGAGAAAGUGGUAGCAAUACCAUGAGUACAGUGGCGCACGGGUGAGUAACACGUGACUAACCUACCCUGGAGUGGGGGAUAACUGAGGGAAACCUUAGCUAAUACCGCAUAAUACCUACGGGUCAAAGGAGCAAUUCGCUUCAGGAGGGGGUCGCGGCCGAUUAGUUAGUUGGCGGGGUAAUGGCCCACAAGACAGUGAUCGGUAUCCGGCCUGAGAGGGCGCACGGACACACUGGAACUGAAACACGGUCCAGACUCCUACGGGAGGCAGCAGUGGGAAUUUUGCGCAAUGGGGGAAACCCUGACGCAGCAACGCCGCGUGGAGGAUGAAGUCCUUCGGGACGUAAACUCCUUUCGAUCGGGACGAUAAUGACGGUACCGGAAGAAGAAGCCCCGGCUAACUUCGUGCCAGCAGCCGC
rnacentral:rRNA from 1 species